rnacentral:lncRNA from 1 species
CCGACCUCCGCCUCAUCAUCCCGCCGCGGCCGGCGCCCACAGGCCCCGCGCCGGAUAGCCCGCUCCACCCCGGCCCCGCCCCGCGCCCUCCCCCGGCUCGGCGAUUCGCUUCCCGUCGGAGCCCCGCGGGCCGCGGCCGCCGAUGAGUUUCCGGGUCGGCGGCCUGAACUUCUGCCGCCGCCGAUCGCUGACCGCGGAUUUUCUUUAAAUCCAGGUGGCUUUGCUGUGUGUUAUUUCUCAAGGCAGCUGGGAGACAAGGAAAUACGCAGUCAACUCUCCAUCUGCAGAUUGAUAUGUAGAAAUGUCUUGGCAGCAUAGAGCCCAGAAAAUGUGUUGUUGCUCUUUCAAAAUGGCUUCCUGAAUGACAUGGAUGCAGCACCGCUGCAUUCAGUGGCUGACACGGAGCUGUGUGUGCUGACGGGCAGCGCUGCUGUUCUCACGAACCUCAGCCGGCUGAAAAAAGAGCAGACUGAAGCCUCAUGAAGUUCAGUGGAGUCUGCAAAUUGAAACAGAAUAACCUGGAAAGCAACUUUGCUGCACAUGACAUCACUUUCCUGGAGGACACCAAGUUAACAUGAGUCAGCACAGUGCCUUUACUUAGGAAGAGAGAAGCCAGAGGCUGAGACAAGUGAUUAUUUCUGUCUACUUGGCAUUUACGUGACUGCAUCUGAAGCAGUGUCUGCUUUGGGCUUCCCAGUAGAGAAGAGAUGCUGAUGUACUAGGGCAGUCUAGGGGAAGACUACUAUCACGAUUAGGUAACGGGAGCAUACAAUGUAAAAGGAAAAGCUGGGCGAGCUGGGUGUCUUCAGUGUUGAGAGAAGGCUGGGGGACAUUAUAAGCACUUUUCUGAAGGAGUUGCUCUUACUUUAAAGACACCUAUUAUAAGCAGCAUGUGUAUAUGUAUGAUUGUAGACUGCCAUAUAGGAUUUCUCUAUAUUCCUUUACAAAAAGACAUAGCUACUGGCAUGUGCUGUUAUGCAGAAUAGCAUGGGUUUAUUGGUUUCUGUAUUGACAAAGAUUUGAAGUUUAGUGCUUUGAAUAUGACAUGUCAAGGACGAAAUAGACUCGCUCAUAUGCAGAGCUGCCUGUGGUUUGUACCUAUGUGCUUAACAAAGGAAUAGCAAGCUAUGUUCAUUUAGCUAGAAUUGGAGUUAGAUGGCAGUGUAUUCUAAUCUAAAAUAAUGUGCUGUGAUGUUUAAAUAAAAAGAGAUGACAGAGGCUUUGAUCUCUUUGUUUCCCUGGAUGUUACUAAAAUGUGAUAUAAACAAAAAUGAGUAAGACAGACAUGUAAUCUUACUGUAAAGUCAAUAUGAAGUGCCUGUUGAUGCUGUCUGUGUUUCAUAGAAGUAGCCUUUCAGUUCAGUCUCACUGAGCUCAAUUCAGAAAUCUUGUUGAAUUUUUCCGCACGUCUAUUAUAUGUACUGGGAGUGAGGAAUCAGCAGGGAAGGCCAUGUUUUACCUAAUGGUAUGAUUCUCUUAAGAAAAGGAUCAAUAAAGUUUCUCCUAAAUUAGUCAGAAGCCUUAAAAGCAUACUGAAUUUGCUUUGGUUUUGCAGAUUGUGGUGUUAGGAUAGCCUUAAGGAGUUGUUAGUAACUAUGUCUUUCAUUUUUUGCACGUAUAAAGGUUCUCAAUUUUAGCAGCUGGAACUCAUGAGUUCCAAAAUAACCAAUCUUUGCUAAGGAAAAAAUUCAGAUCAUUUAUUUCCUGGAUAUAACUUCUGUAUGAAACCAGUCAGUAUUUUCUGGAUGUUUUCAACAUCUUUUAGCUCCCUGCUUCAAAGUCAUAAUGACACGCACAUAAAGGCAGACUGGGUCAAUGCUAAAUGAAGUUCAAAAAGUUUAUUUUUGAAACUUAAAACCUCAGUAUGAACUUUGAACAAAAAAGAAUGUUCCAGUCUACCCAUGGCUUACUGUGAAAAUAAAUCACAUUCCUGAAGCCAGACAGCCUACUCCAUAUCAUGGCUCACUUUAGCCAUUGCAUACUUUCUUUUCCCCACGGCUGCCUGUCUGCUUUCUACAGUCAUCUGAUGAUUCGUGUUGUCCUUUCCAAACUGCUCACCCAGCUGCUGUAACUUAUGCCAUGCAGAGUGGUGUGUGUUGUAGUGAUUCUCUGCAGCUAAGGAUUCCUCUAAAGAAGAGUCCUUUCUCUUUAUAUAUUUGCCUUCUUAAAUUUGAAGUGACUGGUUUUUUUUCACUUAAAAAUGCAGGCCUGAGCAUUCUGUUUCCAAAGUGGAUUCAGCAGGACAUGAAGCUAUAAAACAUGAAGAUUGAAGGAUUUUGUUAUAGAGCUUGACAUUCCACUUGAUGAAGCGAAUAAGAUGUCUGGUUUAUACAGAUACUUGAUUGCACCCUGCAAAUGUAAUGUAAUAGCUCUGCUUAGGUAGGCUUUAGAGCAGAGAGUUCCAGUGUCCCUGAUUCCUGGAAUGCUCUCCAUUUGGGAAAGCAGAAUAGAUCCAGAACUCUCUAUUCUGCUCCAAUGCACUGCAUUCUCCAACAGGUAGUAGAGUACAUAGUAUUAAGGUGGUUUUCAUACAAACAGCCACUUGAAAAGGAAGCUUUUUUUUUUUUAUUUCGCUAUUUCACCUCUUCAUGGAUGGCUUUUUGGUGUUGUUGUAUGUUGUUAGUCAUGGCUGUUCUUUGAGUUGUUAGGUUUUUGCUUCUUAUUUUUACCACUGGUUGCUUUUGUUCCUACAGGUGUGUGAAAUGAAACAAGCAGUAGGAUUCUUCUAACAAGCUUUAUGUUUUUGAGCGUGACCUCAGUGUGUUCCUGUCUCACUUUACUCAAAGAAAGUUCUACCAGAACCGAGCAAGUGCUGGGUUGCUAAUUGAAUUUUCCUAGCAAGAGAUGAGGCUGCUUAAGGACAGCCUCACCAGGCAUAAUGGCAGAGGGGCUGAGUAGGCUUGUCAGACCUAAGAAGGUGGCAGGGUGACAUGGUUUACUCUACUCUUUUGCAUAAGCAGGCUGCAUUGCACCAUCUCAGCUUGGAAUGGAGGCCACGCGCCUUCUGUGCCUGAUGUGUCUGCUCUGCAGCUGUGUCUGGGGACAUCAGAGUCCUCCCCCGCAUGAAGAGGUAUGCCUGCCUGUGGAGGUGACAGGAAGGAAAGCAUCCUAGUCACAGUGCCAACACGUCAGGGAAAGCCCCUGUGCGGAUGUCCUCUGUGACUUUCUCUGAGCAGUGUUCAGAAAUAGCGUUGGCUGGGAAUCUUCUGCGCAGUAUCGCUGACACCUCCCAGAUGAAGAGCAGGAUCUUUCUGUUCUGUGGGAUCUCUGCAUGUCAUGUAGCAGCAAAUAAGUGACUCUGAGGUCAUAGAAGUCGCUUUUACUCACCAGAAACACCAAGCCCACUAGCGAGCUGGCAGUGCUGGCAGCAUGGUCAGGCAUUCUGUUCUUACAGCCCUGGGAACUAUAUGGAGAUGUGCAACCAGCAAAGUCAAUGAUGAACAGACCCUAAGCUGUGUUAAUUCCACAUUGUGUCUUUUGAUAAUAGAUGGGCUCAACAACAAGCAAUAUAAAGCAAAAGGUAUAGGAAUCUAGUGAAUGCUGCGUUUCAGAAACCAUGAUUCCUGGCACAUUUAUUAGCUAUAAAAAGUGAGAAGGCAGCAGCUUUCCAUCCAAAAAAACCCUGAAAGCAUCCUGCAAAAACUUGGACAGUCCAUGAAGACAAAUUAGUGGGAUGCAUGUGAUGAUUGUAGCUACUGAAUCACAAGCCAAAGGCUUAUGUUGUGGGGACCAUUCACAAUCUGAUAUUGAGCAGGCUUAAAUCUGUUACCUUGGAUAACACAGAGAUCGCGCAUAACUGUCAAGUUACAGUCUAAGUCUUUCUAUAAUGAUGCCCUUUUUCAUAGUGUUCUGAUUUAAAGGAUAAAAAGCAAAAUAUUUCCUGGCUGGUUUAUUAGUCUAUAAUUAGCAGUGAAUGUUAAAUCUGUUUCUGCAUGGGGGAAUUUUCUCUUUUGUAUUGGGAAACCUUCAGUAAGAUUUUUCAGGUCUGCGUUGGCCGUUCAAGUGUUCUAGGUGAGGAGGUGUUUCCUUUUUCUUCCCCAGCAAACAAGUUGUGGAGAAAAGUGAUAAGGUCUACAGACUACAGGAGAGUGGAGGAACCAGGAAAUUUGGAGAAAGAGGGGCAGUUUUUUGGCAACUUUCCUUUUAUUUAUUGUCAUUAUGAAGUGGAGAAGUAAGGAAAGCAAGGUAGGAGUAUUUGAUACCAUGAACAUGAUUGGAGAAGGGGAAAAAGUGCACUAGUGUGCUUAUGCUCUCCUCUGUCUUUCAAUGUCACAGAGUAUCUGAAGAGCAUUGCUAAGUGCUAUGUGGUUAUUGCAUCUAGAAGGUCUAUGUAGAAGGCUGCUGAGGUGGCUUAUACCGUGCUCACAGAAGAUUUUCCUUAAUAAUACUGUACUACCCUGUGUCUGUCAGCUUCCUCUUUCCCUCUGGGGAAAGACAUUACUGUAUUCUGUUGUUUUUUACCCAACAGGUAGUUUCCUCUCUGAAGACUCGUAGGACUUCUUGCUACUGUUUGAUAUCAUUCUUGAUAUUCUUGUUCUACAACAAAAAGCAGUGUGCUAAAUUCCCUCUCUUAGCAGCUUGCGUUCUUUGUCCUAUGUCUGGCUACAGUCUUUCCCUUAUAAUUCAGCUUCUCUCAGCGAGAGAGAAGUCUUUCAUGAGGCAGUGGGAAGUCUAACAUAGUUUAGCAUCAUUGAAAGACAGACUGUCGCCCUUUCAUCUUAGUGUAAGAAAUAGGCCUCAAAGAUAUUCUUUACAAAAUUCUGGCUGAAUCAAGCAAAGUAAAGGAGAUUAGCAUAGACACCAUCCCUUUAUAACGUACAUCUCACUUUGGCAAAUGAUACGUACGUUGUGAUAAGAGCCAUGGUCUAAUUUUGUAGGUCUGAUCUCAGAACUGUCAGCCUGCCUUGGAUCUUGUGGUAAAGCUGUGGAGAGUCUUUCAGGUUAUUUUUCUCGGUGUGAAUAUGGCUUUCUUUAGUACACUUCUUGAUAAUUAAAACUGUGCAAAAAAUACAUUUUGUCACAUUUACUUUAACACUACUUCACUGCUGGCUUACUGGCUGUUCGUGUAAGCCCGAUGUCUUUAUCUGGAAUUUUAGUAGAAGCUCUGUAAGAAUGGACCGCAUCAACCAACGCAUGGAGAAAUAAAGUAACCUGAGGAACAGUCGAUGGUUGUUGUAAGGGAAAAGCCAGGUGCCAUAAACCUAUUGAAAUUCUUUGAAGAAGUUAAAGGGGAAAAUAUUGUUAUAAUGUAGUUGGAUUUCCAAAAGUCAUUUGACACAGUGCCUCGAUUAAGCCUUAAUGAAUCCAGACAGGUGUGGGAGAGAAGGAGGGUCCUUGGCAUGGAGAAGCAGCUGGUUAAAACAGGCAGGAAAAAAUAGGCAGUUUUCACGGUGGCUUAAGGUUACUGAUAAAGUCCCACAUAGGUCACUGCUAGGACCUGUGCUGUUUGAUGUACAGAUAAGUGAUCUGGAAAAGAUGGUAGGUGGUGAGAGGGUAGUGUGUGAAAAUCAGUUGAGAUAAAUGUGAAAGAGUCCACGGGUUGGAAAAAAAAAAAUCUAAAUUCGUAUAUAAAAUGCUUAUCUGAACUAUGACCACUCGAAACCAAGAUCUCAAGGUUAUAAUUAAUAUCUCUGAGGAAAAUCAGCUCAGUGCCUACUACCAGCCCCAAAAGGAAAUCACGUUUUGAAUGAAUAGAGGUCAUUCCGCCACCAUGUAAAUCCAUGCAUUUUGCAUGUUGUAUACAGCUUCUGCUCUCCCACCUCAACAAUGUUUCAGUGGCAUUGGAAAAAGAUCAGAAACAGCAAAAAGGAACAGAAAACUUGGACCAAAUCCAUUUCAUAAGAAUUAGGAAUCAAUGUGUAAGAGUAACCUCUCAAAAGAUUGAUCUGACAGCAGGAUGAAUACUUGUAGCAGGCAAUAUGAUAGAAAUCUCUAAAAUCACAAGAAUAAGUAGAGAGAGUUUUUUUCUGCUGUCUGCUUCUCAGCUCUUGUAGAUAGUGAACAUGACAUUUCUCAAGUGUCAGAUUACAAACAGAAAGGUGUUUCUUCACACUGAAUGGUUAAGCUGUGAAAUUGUUGUGGCUGUUAAAAAAUUUCCAUAGUGUCAGGGAGUUUUUGAACAAAUGGAGGAAAAAUGUACAGCAGCUUAUUAAUACACAAACUGCACGUCCGGCUCAAGCAUUCAUCAAGUGCUAAAUCACUGAAGAUGAGGAUUGUGGAAAAGGACUGGUUCAUACUGCCCGGUUUUUAUUCUUUCCUGUGGUAUGCUCUGCUGGGAGCUUUCUCAGACAGAAUAUUAGAUGAGAAGUAUCUGAUUCAGUAGGACCAUUAUUUCAAUUAUAUCAUCUUUAGAAACAAAAUGGGAAAGAAAGACACACGUGUUGUAACAAAAAGCUCUUAAAAGACCUGAAGUUACCUUCUGUUUGGUUUCAGGUCUGUGAAGAAUAUUCAUACUGUGACUGCAUAGAAAUUUUGCUGCAAUCCAGAUACAGUGUUGUUUCAUGAAAGCCACGUGAUAAUGUGUUUAUCAAUAAAAUGUUGACAUAUAAGCAUUAGAAGUGGUAAAUGAGAUUGCUGGAAUUGAAAGAGUAACCUGGUUGUCAUUAAGGGUAUACAUAAAUAAAAUUCAGCUUGCUUUUAGCUGAUGUCUUCAAAGAAAAUUGUGGUUGGCUAUAGGAUUUUUUUAGGGUAAGAAUUAGCUUGUUUUAAUUCCAUUCAGAAUUUUGCAUAUUUAUUCCCAAGGAAAAAUUGCUUUUAUUUUUGAGUAACAGCAUCGUUUGUCAUUUGUUUGUUUGUUUCUUUUUUUUUUUUUUCCAAACUGUGUGAAAUAAGUUCCAAAACUGCAGAGGACUCUGUGUCAGACCUACGGUCAUUUUUAACUCCUACCAUAGUAUCUUCAAUUUGUUUUUUUUCUAAAGCUUCUCUAAUAUUUUUGUAAAGAAUGACUUAUUUAUUUAUUUUGCUUAGUAAUGUCGUUACCAAAAGCUCAUUAAUGUUUUGAGUUUCUUAGUUGGCUGCGGAAUGUGGGUAAUCAGAUUUCCAGACCGAAUAUCAAUUAUAUCAAUAACGCAUUGGCUUCAAGAAUCUAUUAGGAUUUUUGCAGUCACAGACAUAAUGAUGCAGACAGUAAGAACGUUCACGAAUAAAUCUGUAUGGUGAAGAAUCCGCAUUUCAGGACAUGGUCAAUCCAUUAAUUGUUGGACUAAAGACAUUUUUUCUCUUAGCAGAUUGUUUAUCGUCUAAUUAGGCUUUUUACAGCUCUUUCUGUAACGUGUAGGACUGACUGCUGUUGGGAAGAUACUGAAUUAUGUCAGCUUCUGAGGUUCAGGAACAGUUUCAAUGCAGAAGGUAGCUGAAACUGAGGAACACUACUCCUGCAUUUCUUCAGCAUCUAAACUCGUUAUGGUGUUAGAGAAUCACCCUGGGGAAAUCAUCUGAGAUUCUGCUGGAAGAUCAGCACCAUCCUGAUCCUUUUUCAGUAGAUAAGUCUUGUUCUUGGCAAGCACAGCAAUCGGGGCCCUUCCUUUCUCAGUACCUGGGAGCUUGUUCUUCUGUGAAAAGUCUUGGAUUUCUUCAUUAAUUGGGGCUGUGGUUUUUAACCAGAAAUUGUUGCUCUACUUCUUUAUCUUUUGCUGUGUUGGGCAGCCUUUUACAUUGCCCAACCAUUCGAUUGAUUUAGUACUUUUUCACAUCAUCACAUUUGGAUGGGAUUGUAUCUUCACGCUACCUCAGGUACGUUUGAGCAGCAUUCAGGCCCUCCUUCUCUUAGCUUUUACCCAAAACUGUAGGAUGAUGUCUAAAGAGAUGCCUCGAUGUUCUUUAGUCCAAACUCAUGGAAGUUGCCAUUAAAUUAGUGCAUUGAGGAAGAAAAAGAAUGCUAAAUGAUUUUAUCUGAAGGAAGAAUAAUUUGAUUACAUACGCUGCUUAGUGAAGCGUGGUAUGAUGUAGCCUGUAUGCUAAACCAAUAAAACAAAGCUGUUCCUGGCUUUCUACAGCUACUGCAAUAAUUUAAAAUGAAAAUCUACUGCAAACCAGUUAGCCUUAAUCAGUACAAAUGCAGUUGGAUUUAUUGGUGCACAGAUGCUCUUUUAUUGUUAUGACACAUUUCUGCACAAACAGAGCUUUUUGUUUUCAGGCAGUAGAAACAAGUUGUAAGAAUCUGGUAACUGGAAUGCUGUGGUUUAGAAAAUAAAGAACAGGUUUUAUGUUGAAGUUUUGCUGUUUAAGAAAGACUAUAACGAAGAAAUCUGACCGGAUUUUUCAAGGAAUGAUGAGAGAAGAGUGGGGUCUGUGUUAAUUACAGUUCUCUGCACACACGAGAAGUGUGUGCCAGGCAGGAAUGAGCAGAGAUCUCAAUGAUCAACACUCCACGCUUCUCAGCAAUCUCGGCUAUGAAAAGAACAUAGAAAUAAAGCAAUUUUUCAUUUCACAUUUCACUUUUUCUAUCAUAGAAUAUAUACUUCCUUUGCUUAUGGCUUAGAUUUUUUUUAAGGUAAAUGCUAAUUUUAAAGCACACUGUAACACUUUUUGAAAGUUUAGAUGUCAGGAGAAGUAGUAGUAUUAAUGGUUUGUCUAUGCUUCAGGGAGACUCAUCUGAACAACUGUAGUAGCUAACUUGAGGAGGAACGCUCGCUUCUCAGUGUCACUGGUUUGGGAAUGUAUUUUCUGGCAAUGAAAUUAUGAAAAAUAAUGCACUGUAAAGAACUUGAUUCUGUGAAUAAGUGACAGUACUUCAGUAUUCUGGGCAUCAGAAAUGUCAUAACCUGUGGAAAGAGGCAAUUAGACUCAGUUGCUUUGACAGCGUCCUGCAGUGUUGAUGGCUCCAAGUCAUUUCCAAGUCAUAAAAACAAUGGUUUGCUUCAGGAAAAACUGAAUAGGGCCACCUGGUACUCUGAGUUUGGCUGACUUACAGAAGGAUGUAAAGUGUACGUAGUUACUGUGUACACAGCAGAUACUCACAAGAGUGUAUGUUCACAAUAAAAUGAUUCUAUUUAGACCUCUUGCAUUCAAAAUAGUGACUGAGAGCCAUGCUCUGGCUGAAUUAUAUAAUGUAGGUAAACAAAAACCCUCAUGACGUAAUGAGGAGGGAGUACUGCAGGGUUUUCUGUCAACUUGAGCUCAUUCCUUGUUCUCUUUGCUCUUGAAGGAAACCUCCUUGUCCUGGCUGGCAUAUUGCAUGGACAAGUAACACAGGCACAUGUUACUUGAGAAAGUUUCAGCAAAGUAGAUAUCAUUUUAAGAGACUUAUGUCAUCUCAAUCAUUUCCAAGAAAUAAAAGCCAGAAUAAGGACAGCCACUUCCUAGAAAUAAAAGCCAGAAAAAGGAAUGUUUGUAGGACAAGUACAAUUCACCUACUUGUGUAUGCCCUUAUGUCUGUCAGUUUAAAUAAACACCUACUUGAUUUUCCUUAUUUAGCAUCCAUUGCGAUGGUGUGUGGAUGAUGCAGACUCUUUAGUGUCCUUUCCCAUUCCUGUUUUUACCUUCUGCCCACCAACUCUCUAGGCUGAUUUCCCUUCUGUCCUGCAUUGUUCUUACUCCUGGCAAUCCAGCCAGUCUUGUUACUCCUGCCUCUUUUUUUCCCACUACCCGCUCUGGGUGCCAGCAGGAGCUGUGGGAGCAUAGGAGAGAUGACAGAACUGCUGUUCCUCUCUUCUAUGCCUGGCUUUACUAUUGAUCUUGGGAGCAAUCGUGGAGAAGGUUCCACUUAAACCAUCAAACCCAGGUAGCUGUUGUAUCAUCCCAGUGUCCAUACAGUUACUUCAAGUAAAUAGCCGAAGAUCAUUUCAAAUAAAGUUACACAAAUUUAAUUAUUUAGCUAAAACAAAUAUUUUUUUUAGGGUGUUUUUUGGAAAUCUUUGUAACUUUAAGCCUCUGUACUCCAUUUCAUGCAGUUUGAUGUAAAAUGGGCCAGAUUUUGCACAGUAAGAGACUCUGGUACGUUUUCCUCCACUCCUUGCCUUACAUAGUAAAAGUCAAUAUAGAAUUCUACUAAGAACAGCAGUCAUUAUGGUUGCAUUACUGUCUAUGUCAGUCACGAGGUACAUUGAUUUUUACUAAGGGGACAACUGAUUCAAACUAAG